rfam:Pichia membranifaciens DNA, contig: CON180, strain: KS47-1.
GGGUUAAUGGUCUAGUGGUAUGAUUCCUGCUUUGGGUGCAGGAGGCCCUGGGUUCAAUUCCCAGUUGACCCC